rnacentral:rRNA from 1 species
GACGAACGCUGGCGGCGUGCUUAACACAUGCAAGUCGAACGGAAAGGCCUCUUUCGGGGGUACUCGAGUGGCGAACGGGUGAGUAACACGUGAGUAACCUGCCCUUGACUUUGGGAUAACUUCAGGAAACUGGGGCUAAUACCGGAUAGGAGCUCCUGCUGCAUGGUGGGGGUUGGAAAGUUUCGGCGGUUGGGGAUGGACUCGCGGCUUAUCAGCUUGUUGGUGGGGUAGUGGCUUACCAAGGCUUUGACGGGUAGCCGGCCUGAGAGGGUGACCGGCCACAUUGGGACUGAGAUACGGCCCAGACUCCUACGGGAGGCAGCAGUGGGGAAGAUUGCACAAGGGGUGGAAGCCUGAUGCAGCAACGCCGUGUGCGGGAUGACGGCCUUCGGGUUGUAAACCGCUUUCGCUCAUGACGAAGCUUUGUGUGACGGUAGUGGGUAAAGAAGCACCGGCUAACUACGUG